rnacentral:lncRNA from 1 species
AAGGAACCCCGGGAGGCGGAGGUCUGGUAGCACCACCUACUCUCUUAAAGGAGUAGGCGCUCAGAGUUCAAAACACGAAUUGUUGCCUCUUUACCAUUCUGCCUGGAGCCAACUGAUUAUGGAUUGAAACCUCUACGAACUGUGAGACAAAGAAACCCCUUACCCUCUUAACUUUGGAUGUCAGGUGUUCUGGUAUAUGCCAGAAUCCUAGGACUCUGAGAGACUGAAGCAAGAAGAUUGCACAUUCAAUUCCAGCCUGGGCAACUUAGCAACCAGUGAGACCCUGUCCCCCAAAAUAAAAAUGAAAUAAAAUAAAAUAAGGCCUGGGAUGUAGCUCAGUGCAAAGGCCCUAGAUUCAAUUCCUAGUCCUGCAGAAAAUGAAAAAAAAAUCUCCAUUUUUCCAAAGAGCUAGGACUGGAAGAAUGGUUAGAGAGAUGCAAGAUUUCUAGAUUUAAAGUUGGCCAUGAAUCAAGAAAUGUGGGCAAUCUCUAGAAGGUAAAAAAGGAAAUGUAAUUGUUAGAGUAGGUAGCUGUUGGUGGUCUUUCUAGAGGGAGACCUGAGACCCCGGAAAGCACUGACUUUUAAAGAAAGAAAAGGAGACAGCCUGGGGGACGAACAGCAGUUUAAUUCUCUGGCACUACUCGGCAGUCACAAAGGGAAGAAGCAAGGCUUUUAUACGUGUAGGAAAGCAGCUUAGUUAUUCUGGCUAUUGUCUUUCUGAUUUUCAUCUCUGAUGAUAACCAGUGACUUUAAGUGACUCAUAAAAGCUACAGGCAAAUUUACAAGUCCCCUGUUUCCAUUCACCAAUCCCAUACAUCAAAGAGCACACCACAGCCCUCUUCUUAUCAGAUGGUACCAAGAGAGCAGGGCGACUUCAGCCAAAAUCUAGCCCACUGGCCCACCACAAACAUCACAGAUGUGCAUAGUGAGUUGUAUCUCUCUCACCACCCGUAGAGUCAUUGGGUCGUGGUUCUCUGAUCCCAGGAAAUGGUAAAUAAGAAAACUAGGAAAACCUGUUUUUCUCCCGUGAGACUUUUACAACGUCUCUUAAAGUUUUUUGGCAUUCUUUUAAAAAAAAAGACUUGUGGAAUUUCCCAGAAAUGACUUAAUUUCUUAGUUAACAAACUUCUUAUGAUCAAUUCUUACAACUAGAUAGCUGAAUUCUACAAUUUCCCACAGGUAGCCAUCUAGAUAUGAGCUGGAGCCAGGAAAAUAGUAGGUGAGCUAAAGGAGGAAGUCUAUACCUAUGCACAGACAGAAACUGAUAGGUGAGUUAAUGGAUAUGUGACACAGUGGUCUUAAGUUUCAAAGCUUCCUGAAAUGGGUCCUCAUACCCCUUUCAGGUUCCUUACACCUAC